GGGUCGGGAGCGGAAGAUGGCGGCCGCUGACCUGGCGGCGCCCGCCCGGGAGGGGGCCUAGCCUCGCCGCCUCCGCCCUCCUGCGGAGCAGAGCUAUGCGGCCCGCGGAGGCGGAGGAGGGGGCGGAGCAGGAAGAGGUGGGCGGAGCCUCCGCCGGGAGCCCGCCGCUAAGCAGGUAGCCUCCCCCCUUUCCUCUAAGACCUGACGCGGCCCUCGCCAAGGCCCGCCCCCAACCUUAGUGGGUGGAGCGGGCCCUCCCCCUCUCCUCGGACACCGCCGGGGAGACCCUUCCUGCGGCCUUCCCCUGCCUCGAUCAUCCCUCGCUGGUUCUUCCCCUUCACCACCCAAGGGGAGAGGUAGAUGCGGUUAUCAUCGUCCCCAUUCUACAGAUGAGGGAAUUGAGGCCAACGGAGGUGAAAGGUCACACACUAAGCGUCUGAGCUGCGUUUGAACUCAGAUCCCUGUGGGUGGUGCUCCCCUGCCUAGCAACCCACGGAGGGCCACCCUUCGCGUGAAGCACACAGGAAAUGGGGUCAGCAAACGAAUAGUCACUAAUGAUCUCCCGGAGCUUCUGUUAAAGGCAGGCUUUUUAUACAACCCCGUUUCCGAGUUGCUGCUGUUAUUAUCCCCAUUUUACAGCUUUGGAAACUGAGGCAGCAGAUUAAAUUACUUGACCCGGGGUCAGCCAGCUGGGCUUGAGAGGACACGGGCACUCAGACCUUCUUGAUCCCGGGCCCAGCGCUGAGCGCGGCGCAUCUUUAGCGCCUCGCACCCAGCGCCGGCGAGCACUUCAGUACUUUAUCUAGUUUUUAGAAAAAUUGCAUGCGUCGGUCAAGCGUCUGGUGAGAGAGGGAGUCCCUUGACCAAGGUCCCCGCCUGUGAAGUGUCAGCCACAGGAUUUGAAUCUGGCAGACCCAGGUGCCGUUCUCCGCCCAAUUCACCAAGAUCCCUCAGCAGGCAUCUAUCUGGGGGCAACAGAACCAAGCUAGGAGGAGCUGAGUUCAAAUCCUGCCAGACUUGACUUUUACUAGCUGUGUGACCCUAGGCAAGUUACUUAAAUCCCAUUAGUCUGCCAAAAAUCUAAGGGCAUAUCCGGACUCGGAGUCCCCAAGGAGCUCACGCUAUCUUAUUUAAUUAAAAAUUCAUUCACCUGGUAAGACCUACAAAACAACCCAACUUUCCUCUACCAGACAAGUAACGGAGCACAGUUGGCAAGUCAGAAAGGACUAUCUUCCUCCAAAGGACCUGGUUGCACUGGAGAUUUACUCUGCUCCCUUUGGCUGGGAGUGACCAAGUUUUCCUGAAGUCUUCCAGAUGGUUCAGGCCAAGUUAUUUGCAGUAACUAGUCAUGAUGUGGGGCCGCACAGUGAAGUCUCACUGUGGGAGCAGUGGCUCUGCUGCCAGGCUUCUAGUAUACCCCGAGGAUGCCCGUGCCUCACCAUGCACCAGACUACUCAAGUCUUGUGCAGACCUUUCUGCCUGCACCCCACGGUGGGGUUCACAAUUAGAUUGUCAGCUUGAAAGCAAGGAUCGUCUCCCCUUCCAUCCCACCUGCCUUGGGCACUGGAACUCACCAGAUUAAACUCGAGUCAGUGAGAGGUCAGUGACAUACAAAUACUAGAUGCUUAGUUCAGAAUGAUCAGCCCAAUAUGGGUUCUUUGAUACUUUGAACAAGCUGUGCUUUUGUUCCUGUGUUACAUAUUCCAACGGAUUGCAUUUCCCGUAUGUCUUCUCAUCUUGUAAGGUGCUUCUUCAGGUGCCCUUUUAGAUUCUGCCUCAAGAUGAUGCUUCCAGCAGCUGGGAGACUUGGAGGGGUACCCGCGCAUCAGGUUGUCUGUCCGUUUGAUUGUGUUCAAGAAUUCAGGGCUAAGUGAGACUUCACAUGUUACCCUAAAUCAACGCCAAGUUCCAGAAAAAGAAGGUGAUUAACCAAAUCCUGGUCAUCCCAGAGACUAUGACUGGUACCUGAAAUGAGGAUGCCUCAAAUCCAUCCUGUAAGGAUGUAAGUCACUGUGGCUUCCCAAGAAAAGCCCAAAACAUCUACCAAGUCCAGCAGUAGCACAGAAUGGAUGUAGAAGUGGGCUGGCAGUCAGUUGGUGACACCCAGGACUCAGCAGAAGAACGUUCUGAAGUUGUAAACCUGUGUUCUAAAAGGGGGAAUCAUAAAUCCAGCCUCCAGCUCAAAGAACAAGAAAAGUUUUCUCCAUCCUUUAGAUUGUCCUGCAACUCUGCAGGACCCUCAGAUAAGCAAGAACUCCCCGUGGAACUGCAGUGUGAAGAUGGGGAAACUUAUGAAGCCUGCAACCAGAAAUGGUGCAAAGCCACCACAGGGAUUUCUGUCAACUCCAGUACUAACUUUGACUUACAGUGUGAAGGUGAAGACUUAGAACUGUCUUUCUCUGAUAGCCCAGAAGAAGCUCAGGGAGCGCUUAGCGAGGAUGAUGACCGCGUUGACACAUUUGAUGAAGACUUUGAACCUGUCUCCAGAGAAGCCUUCCUUUACAGAUGUAGGAAGUGUGGCACAUCUUUCCAGGAUCUAGCUAGAUUACAGGAGCACAGGGAGAUCCACAUAGCUGAACAUCCCUACCGCUGCCCCGUCUGUGGCAAAGAGUUCUGUGCUGCUAAUUUGCGCAUGCACAAGUUGAUUCACUCUAGUGAUAGGCCACAUAAGUGUCCUGAAUGUGACAAAGGAUUCAUUGGUACGGCGGAUGUAUGACGACAUCUACGAAAUGUUCACAAGAUUGAACACACCAAGGUGGCCUUAGGAAACGAUACUAUGAAGAUCUCCUGGUCUGCAAAUUACCAAAAUGAGCAUGAGGCUGAUCCAGAUAAGCAGAGUUCAGAGGGCCAGAAGCCAAGAGGGGAGGAGCUCAGACCUUAUGUCUGUCAGGCCUGUGGUAAGGGGUUUUGUAAACCAAACCUACUUAACAAACACAAAGUAAUUCACCGGCAGGAAAAACCAUACCUAUGUCAGGAAUGUGGCAGGGCCUUUAUCCAGCUGUUUAGGUUGAAAAGGCAUCAGCAGACACACUCAGGAGAAGAGCGUCCUUUCUACUGUGAUGAGUGUGGUGGGACCUUCACCUGAUUAUCAUCGCUACAGUGGCAUCAACAUAUUCACACUGGAGAGAAGCCAUAUACUUGUAUUUAUUGUGGUCAUUCCUUCACUGAAUCAGGCACUAUGAGGAGGCAUGAAUGUACACACAAAGUGGGAAAAGAUUAGAGGCUGUAUUACCACCUUGUUUUUUUCAUAUAAACCAAGAUCUGUUCUCUAGGACAAACUUUCCAAACUAUUCACUAGAAACUUAGUCUAACACCUCUUCCUUACUGUACUCCAUCUCCCACUCAUAUUUAUGGGUGCCAUUUUUGUCUUGGAAAUGGUCCAAUAAUUUCUGCCAAAAAAAAAAAAAAGCCUCAUCCAGGAUUGAAACUUACAUUUCUAUCCAUAGGCAAAAGUAAUAAAAAAAUACCAUUUUUUACUGAUUUUUGUCAGUUUGUAUUGGACAGGAUUCCUUCCAAAAGACUUAUUGUUCUAAUUUGGGAUUUUUACAAAGAUAUAUCUGACUAGUCUUUAAAGGCCCAUAACAGCCUUCUAUACAGUUCUGUGUUUAAAACUUCAAGUACAGCCUUCCUGUAGCCUACAUUAUUGAGAAUCUGGGUCAUCUUUGUCACCUCCAUUUUUUUUUAAUGAAAGAUAUAUUUUGGGGGAAAAAAAAAGUAUGUUGUAAAAUCAUAUCCUUAAUAAACUGGCCAAUAAUUGCUACCUUUUGUGUGGCUGAAUUUGCAUAUUUAAAGUAAUUGAUAUUUGUCUGGAAAUUUUUGAAUUCAACUUAAUUUAUCAGUGCCCAUAAAUGAGAUGGCAAUAUGAUUAUUUGAGGAGAAUUCACUUCCCCCCCUUGAAUAUGAACUACAUUAGUCUCAUCUUCAGAUUAAGAAUUAUCAGUAUUAAUGAUUUCUGAAAGAUAUGUAAGGAUCUAAGUUGUUUUUAAUCCUUAAAAAUAACUUAUUAAUCAAUAAUCAUUUAUUAAGCAUAUAAGAUAUGCACUGAUUGAAUGGAAGAAUCCAAGGGGAGGGGAAGAUUCCAACAGUUACAGGACUAGGAAGGGCCAUCUACAAAAGCUCUCUGAGCUAAGUCUUGCUAAGGUUCCUAUGAAAGGAAAGGGGAGGAAAAUGAAUAUUCCAGACACAAAGGACAUCCAAAGACACAGAAAUGAAAAAUGGAAUAUAUUUGGCAGGAAUAGUUAAUUAGGUUAUUGUGACCAUGUGGCCAGACCAUAGUCUAUUUGGAGAGGAGUAAUGUAUGGUAUGGAAGUCAUCCAUCAUCCUUUAUUGGUCAGUAUCUAAAGACAAUCCACAAGUAUAACAAUGGAAUUUCAGAACAAGAAGCUGAAGGGAGUACUAGUAUGUUUUCAUCCAUUUUUCAGCUGUCUCAGAUUUGGAAAAGGGGUAUAUGUAGCUUCUGAUUUAUUCCCAGUUAUUUUCCUGUUACGUAAUGAUGCACUUGCAUCUCUCAAAAAUGGUGUACUCAUUCCAAAGAAAUCUCCCUUACCUUGUUGUUGUUCUCUUUGCAGCAUUUACCUUCUAUUUAGAUUAAACAGGAAAGCAUGUAUUAAGGGCCUGUCUGUCAGGUAUUUUGGAUACGAAUUUAAAGAAACAAUCCUAACUUUCAAAGAAUUUGCAUUCAAACAGAGGAGACUACAAAUACACAUAUAAAUAAAUUAAAUAUAGAAAAUAAAGACAAAGUUAAAAUCAAAAUAGUUUAGGAAGAAAGUUAUUAACAAUUGGAGAUGAGUAAAGCUGUUAUCUAGAAGGUCAUAGUUAAACCGCAUCUAAGGCAGAGGGGAAUUCUGUGUGUUGGAGGUGAGGAAGGAAGUAUAUUCCAGGUACGAAAACGUGCAUGCAAAGGUGCAGAGAUAGGAGAUGGAGUGUUAUGAGGGAUACAGAAUAUAGGAAGUGUGAAGUAAUGUAAAAUAAGGCCAGAUUGACAGGUUUUAAAGGCUAAGCCAAGGAGUUUAUAUUUAACAUGGAGACAUAGGCAACCACUAGAGUUUAAUGAAUAGGAGAAUGACAUGUUCAGAUUGAACCUUAAGGAAUAUUAUCUUGCCAGCCUUAUGGAGGAUGGAUUAAAACAAGCCAGACUAAUUAGGCCAUUUCAAUAAGAAAGGUUAUGGAAACCAAAACUUAGGCCAUGACUACAGUGUGGCUAAAAAGGUUAAGAUAAGAUAUGAAAGAUGCUUUGGAAAUAGAAAGCCACAAUUAGCAACUGAUUAAAUAUAUGAAUUGAAGGAAAAUGAGUCAUGGAUAAUGCCAAGGUUGUAAACUUGGGAGUUGGAUAGUUUGGUGUUUGCUUGAACAAAAAUAAGGAAGUGUGGAAUAGAGGUUGAUUUAGGGAGGCAGGGGACAGAAAAUGCAUUCUGUUUUGGAUAUUUUGAGUUUAGAAUGCCUCCAGAACAUGCAGUUUGAAAUAGUCUAUAGGAAAUUGAUGAUGGGUGUCUGACGCUCAUUGGAGAGGUGGAUUGAUUAUUUAGAUUUGUUCAUUAUCUACAAAGAGAUUAUUUAACCUAUAGGAUCUGAAGUAACUAAGAGAGUAUAGAGAGAGAAGGAGGAUAGAGCAAUCUUGGGGAAUUUGCACAGUUAAAGGGUGUGAAAUGAUGAAAAGAAAGAAAGAAAUUAAUAAGCAUUAAGUGCCUUCUAUGCUAAAUAUCUCUUUAAAUAUCUUUAAAAUAUAUCCUUUGAUCUUCACCAUAAUCCUAGAAUGCAGCUGCUAUUAUUAUCUACCUUUUAUAAUUGAGGAAAUUGAGGUAAGCAGAUUAAUUGACUUGCCCAAGGUCACAUAACUAGUGUCUGAAGAAAGAUUUUAAAAAUCUCUCCUUAAAAAUUCAGGUUUUUACUAUGCCACCUAGCUGCCCGCAAAAGAGACUGAGAACAGAGAUAAGACAACAAGGAAAACUAGAAGAGUUAGUGUCACCAAAGUACAGAGAAGAGACACUGUCUGUGGUGUAAAAUGUAGAUGUCAGGAUUUGCCACUAUGAAUGACUAAGCUAUUCUGAAUAUUAUAAGUUUUGAAGUAAGUAACAAGGGAAGGAGAUAAUUUGGAACUUAAAACAUAACAAAACAAAAUAAAAUUUGCCCCUCAAGAGAUAACUGGUAACUUUCGAGGACGGUUUUGGUAGAAUGAUGAUCAAAAGCAAUAAGGAAAGAAACUAGGAACUAGUAGGGAGAAUCUGAAAAUUAGAGAAGAGUGUGAGUUGGAAAAAGGGUGAUGAUUAUAUUGGGAACAAGUUGCUGGAGAAAAUGGGAGGGAAUGGGAUGAAGAACAAAUAUAGAAGUGUUAACCUUGACCAAAAAAAGGAAGAAAGGCAUAUCAUUGUUAGAGACUAGGAAAAGGAGGAGUGAGAAGAUGUCAAAGCAGUUUUGAGAUUAAAAGAAAAUAAGAAGAGGGAAAUAGUCUCAAUUUUCUCAUUCAAAUAAUGGGUCCUUCAAAUGAGAGGGAAAGAAUGAAAUGGAAGCGUAAGAGGUUUGAGAAGAGAAGGUUUGGUAGAGCUGUUGUGUUGAGGGAGAAAGGGAAUAGGUAGGUCGAUACUUCCUGGGACGAAGCCAAGAUGGCGGAGAAGGCACAUGCAACUUUCUAAACUCCUCUCAUCCCCUCACAACCAACUAUUAAAUUCAGUCUCAAAAAUAACCCUUGACUGGUAAAACCCAUGAAGAUUGGAAGCACAACAACUCACCAGCCGAAGAUAAUGUGAAAAAUCACCAAGAAAGGUUUGUCCUGAGGGGCCAGGAACAGACCAGCACAGGCAGGAAGAGACUAGCUUCUGGAGCAGACCAGAAGCGGGGGUGAUCUCUGUGGCUAGAGAAGUUAUAGAGAUGACUCUGCUAUAGGGUAACUGCUCUGCCUUGAUUACAAAGCAGUAAACCAGCAGAGAAAUUAAAGCCUAAAACAGAGGGUACUCUUUUCAAAACACCAGAACCUAACAAGAUAUGGCUGUAACCACUCAAAACCAGAAGUGACUCAGGCAAACUGUAACACAGCCCUGCAGCCACAUCCUGCAGUUCAGGGCUUUUGUGGGGGACAGUUACAAAUCUGCACAGCAAGGGGGCACAGCCCAGGGCAGCUCUAAUCUGCACAGUAGGAGGCUCGGCCUGGGGCAAUAGAACUUCCUCAGUAUGGCUGUGUGCUCUGUGUCCAGAAACACUUCUGGUCCCUGCAGGGCUAUUCACUGCUCAGCCACUAAUACCCACAGCCCCAGGGCUGGAUUUGUCCUGGGGUAGUGACACUUUCACUGCUCAUCAUCUAGCCCCAGGACAGUCAUUAACCCGCACAGCAGGGUUUUUUGCAGGGCACUUUCCCAGCUUGGCCCUGCAGGCCUGAAUUAUUUCCAGGUGAGUAACUCUUUCCCAGGGCACUACUGUACCUCGAUGCUCUUUUUAACUGGUUGGCAGGACAGAUAUUAACCUCCUGGCCCUACAGGCUUUAAAAAAUGAAUAAAAAAUCAAAAGGAGGAUCGAUAGCUUCUAUACAGAAAGAGAGCAGCUUUUCAAACCCAAGGAGAUUAAUAGCAGACAGUCUCCAGACAAUUGUUGGUCCCCAACACAAAAGGCUCUCCUAGAAGAGACUAUUAAAAACCUUAAAAGACAACUAGAAGAAAAAUGGGGAAAGGAAAGAGAAGCUAUGCAAGAGAGCAACAACUUCCUGAAAUAUGAAUUGGAAAAGGUAAAAAAAAACUCCCAAGAAGUGCAGGGAAACAGAAUAUGUGAAUUGGAAAAAGAAAAUAACUCACUAAAAAAAAAAUUAGUGAAAUGGAAAAAAAUUCCAUAGAGCAAAACAACUCAUUUAAAAACUCAAUUGGGCAUAUAGAAAAAGAAAUAAAAAGAGCUAUUAAAGAAAAUAACUCACUAAAAAUCAAAACUGAACAAAUAGAAAUGACUGAUUCAUUGCAACAUCAAGAAUCAAUCAAGCAAAACCAAAAAAAUAAAAGAUUGGAAAAAAAUGUCAAAUAUUUACUUGGAAAAACAACAGACCUGGAAAAUAGAUCUAGGAGAGAUAACCUGAGGAUCAUUGGACUACCCGAAAAUGUUGAUGAAAAAAAGAGCUUAGAUACUAUUUUACAGGAAAUCAUCAAAGAGAAAUGCCCAGAAGUAAUAGAACCAGAAGGUAAAAUAAACAUUGAAAGAAUUCAUCAGGUCAUCCUGCCAUCUAGGGGAGGGGGUCGGGGGGGGGGGGGUAAGAGGUGAAAAAUUGGAACAAGAGGUUUGGCAAUUGUUAAUGCUGUAAAGUGACCCAUGUAUAAAUCCUGUAAAUAAAAGGCUAUUAAAUAAAAAAAAUAAAUAAAUAAAUUAAUUAAUUAAUUAAAAAAAAAGAAAGAAUUCAUCAAACACCUUCUGAAAAAGACCCUAAAAUGAAUGCUCUGAGGAAUAUUGUGGCCAAAUUUCAGAAUUUUCAGACUAAAGAAAAAAUGGUACAAGCAGCCAGGAAAAAACAAUUCAAAUACCGAGGUGCCACAAUAAGGGUCACUCAAGAUUUGGCUGCUGCAACAUUAAAGGAUCGAAGGUCCUGGAAUCUGAUAUUCCAAAAGGCAAAAGAACUUGGAAUGCAGCCAAGAAUAAACUACCCAGGUAAGCUGAGCAUUUUUUUUCCAUGGAAGAAGAUGGACAUUUAAUUAAACAGAGGAAUUCUAUUUGUUUCUAAGGAAAAAAUCAGACUUAAACAAAACAUAUGAUCUCCAACCAUAGGACUCAAGAGAAGUAGAAAAAGGUAAAAGCAACUUUUGAGAACUGUAUUUCUGUUGUGGAUGUACAUAAAAACCACAGGUAUAAUUUGAUUUUACUGAUAUAAAAAAGGGAAGUAGAAAUGGAAAGGGGAUAGUGUCACAAAAAUGGAAAAGGGGAGAUAAAAAGAGAGAAACUACAUCCCUCGAUGAGGCAAAGAAAACCUAUCUUAUCU
ensembl:lncRNA